ensembl:lncRNA
AUGGCCACUGCCAAUACUGAGUCUCCUUAUGGUACCAUUCCCCACAUGAUCAGCCAGCUACCUGGUGGCAGAUUGGGUGAUUUGGGCCACUUCCAUCAUGGAAGGUGCCACAGUUUGUACUCUACUAGAAUAGACACAAAGAAGAAGAGAUAUGAAGACAGAUGCAAAGACUGGAGUGAGGCAGCCACAAGCCCGGGAAGCCAGGGAAUGCAUUCUGCCGCCAGAAGCUGGAAGAGGCAGGGAACCGACUCUAUCUAUGAAGUAACGAAUACAGUAAAAUCUACCCUAAAGUCAGAAACACUCCCCACCAGCAGGCUCAUGAGAUGGGCAUUUCUGCUGAGGAAGAAAAAUACACAAAUAUCCAGGUAUAGAAGAGGACCAUGAAAGAUGCCCAAACCCCUGCGGAGAAAUGCGGCAUUGUCUCAACUUCCUCUCAGGACCACUAAGAGCAGCUUUUCAAAGGACAUAAUCCCAUAAAGACAAAGAAAACUGGAGAAGUAUGAGCAGAGGAGAAAAGUGAACAACAUCUGAGGAGCUGAAAGUGGAUGAGCAGUGACUGUCCUGGUUAGCCGGAGAAUAUGAGCUAAAAGAGAACUUUAUUACACGGGCCCUGUAACAGGAGACUUACAAACACCGUGGAAAAUGUCUCCAAAUGUGUGUUCUCAAAAAUUGCAGAACCUUUGUUCAUAUACUUAUCAUAAAAAUAACUUCCCUUUCAACUCAAACAUCUUGAUGUCACCAUCACUGACUACAGUCACCUUCUGACUCCAUAUUUCACAUGGUGGUGCCCUGGGGUAACUGGAGUGCCUUAAACCCCUUUAAACGCCAGUGGCCCACUACCAAAGUCACCCAAAUAAAUACAUGAUGGAGGUGAAAAUGGUGUGCUGGGUAUGCAAGCACUGCCCAAGAUAGCUCUCCAGCCCUCCACCCCUCUACCCCAAUCAUCUUCCUAAGCCCCUCACUCUUCCACACAAACUCUAGAGUGACCAUUGGGGUCUCAGCCACUGGUUCUUCUUAAUAUUCCUCCUCAAGUUAGUGUCACGGCCACCUUCAAAAGUCAUUCCCAUGCCUACCCUGAGCAAUCAUUUCAUCUGGGCCGGAGGUCUGACUCUUCAUAGAAGUGGAGGGUAUACCAACAAUAUUUAUUUGUAUGGAGGCUUUUUAGGAGUUAUAGCUAAGAUAGUGUGGUCAGAGACAUCCCUGCAAGGAUUUGCCUUAGUACGAACAGAGUUUAGGAAGGCUAGAGGCUCAGAAAGUUAAAACAUCCAUUAGACAGUCUUCCUGCUGAGUGCUUGGAUGCCAGUUAGAGACCCUGAAAUGGCCCCGAGGGCACUGCUGAGUAGCAGGAAGCCAUGCACAUCUUGCUCCAGAUAUCUAGAAGUCAGAACUUACAUUUAUAGGGGUAAAGUCUUGACUCCAACUUGUCCUGAGUUGCCCUGAGUUUAUAUUGCAUGAUGUAAUAAAAAGAUCCAGAGCUUUGAAUUUAUGGCUAUGAGUUUGUAGCCCAAAUAUAACAAUUUACCUGUGUGAUCUUGCUUAAUCAUUCUGGACCUUGAUUUCCUCAGCUGCAAAACAGAGGCAAUAAUAAUACUGACCUUGCAUGACUCUGUCUAGAAUUUUAAGUAAUAUAUGUCAAAAUUUUUCAGUGAGACUCAACAAUACUCAAGGUAGGAUAAGGAUUUUUGUUUUAAAAUACCUUAAAAUUAUCUGACAUCUUUGAAUACAUUUUUUAUUUAAUUGGGGCCCCACAGUGCUGUGUUCUACAAUGGGAAAAAAGAAAAAGAAAAAGUUUUAUGAGCAGGAGUUACCAAUUAACUGCCUUCUCAAAACAGAGUCUACGGUCUCUAAGGAGAUGAAUUCUUCAUGGGACCAACCAAGAUGAAUUGCAUGCAAAAUGUGCUCCAACUGAUGGGAUAAAUCUGCAAUUCUUGGGCUUCAUAUAAAAAGCUCAAGCAAUUAAUUCAAAAUUGCUUGAAAUAGGGGAUAUUUUUAAGAGCUCUCCAGUGACUCUAGUGUACAGCCAAGAUGAAGAGACACCAACUGCUUUUUAAACAAUGACCUAUUGGAUGGAGUAUAACGAUUAUACUCAUUUAAAUAUUUGAAAUCCCUUCCAGAAGAUAAGAAACUUCUGGGAGUUAAAAGAACUUGUUCUAACCCAAUGUAAAGAAACUAAGAACU